AUCUCAGAGAGAACUCGGAAUCUCAUAAUUCAAAUUUAUCUGCUCCUGCUCCUAAAUAAAUUAAAACUUUUAGUAGUUUUGCUCUAAGAAUAAUAGUUCGGGAUGAUUGGGCAGUCCGUUCGUCGUGCGAUGUUGAAGGGGCAGGGGGCUGGGCUGAAGAUGUCGGUGAGGACAAUCUACCCCCAAAUCUCGAGCAACGUCGUCAGUGGGAUGCCACGGACUCGAAUUCCUUUUCCCGAGAAAGUGGGAUGCGGAUUGUUCAUUGCGAUGUGCGUUUUGGCCACACCUGCCUGGAUUACGACUCACAUGGACGAUUACCGAGGAGGACCUGUGGGUCAAGCUUAAACCGUUUCGCGUAUAGUCAUUAGUCAAUAAAAUCUGUGAGAAUAAUACCGUAAAACAAUUUCAAUUUACAAUUUAUUAGCGGAAAUCAAAAUGUUAUAUAGACUAUUCAGUCCGUAGUUUGUGAAUAAACAAAAAAGUUAAUUUCGA